rnacentral:rRNA from 1 species
AGAGUUUGAUCAUGGCUCAGAACGAACGCUGGCGGCGUGCUUAACACAUGCAAGUCGCGUGCGCAGUUGCCGUAGCAAUACGGUGAUGGGCGCACGGCGCACGGGUGCGUAACACGUGGGCAAUCUGCCCUUUGAUGGGGAAUAACCCGCCGAAAGGCGGGCUAAUUCCGCAUAAGAUUCUUUGGACCUCGGUCUGGAGAUUGAAAGCAGCAAUGCGUCGAAGGAGGAGCCCGCGCCCGAUUAGCUAGUUGGUGAGGUAACGGCUCACCAAGGCUAUGAUCGGUAGCUGGUCUGAGAGGAUGAUCAGCCACACUGGAACUGAGACACGGUCCAGACUCCUACGGGAGGCAGCAGUGGGGAAUCUUGCACAAUGGGCGAAAGCCUGAUGCAGCGACGCCGCGUGGGGGAUGAAGCAUUUCGGUGUGUAAACCCCUUUCGACUGGGAAGAAUACCUCGCAAGAGGGGUGACGGUACCAGUAGAAGAAGCCCCGGCUAACUACGUGCCAGCAGCCGCGGUAAGACGUAGGGGGCCAGCGUUGUUCGGAAUUACUGGGUGUAAAGGGUUCGUAGGCGGUGCGGCAAGUUGGGAGUGAAAUCUCUGGGCUUAACCCAGAGGCUGCUUCCAAAACUGCUGUGCUCGAGUGUGAGAGAGGCUCGUGGAAUUGCAGGUGUAGCGGUGAAAUGCGUAGAUAUCUGCAGGAACACCCGUGGCGAAAGCGGCGAGCUGGAUCACUACUGACGCUGAGGAACGAAAGCUAGGGGAGCAAACAGGAUUAGAUACCCCAGUAGUCC